UUCCAGACUCCUACGGGAGGCAGCAGUGGGGAAUAUUGCACAAUGGGGGAAACCCUGAUGCAGCGACGCCGCGUGAGUGAAGAAGUAUUUCGGUAUGUAAAGCUCUAUCAGCAGGGAAGAAAUAGCGACCUUUGGGUCGCCAGACGGUACCUGAUUAAGAAGCCACGGCUAACUACGUGCCAGCAGCCGCGGUAAUACGUAGGUGGCAAGCGUUGUCCGGAUUUACUGGGUGUAAAGGGCGUGUAGCCGGGCUGACAAGUCAGAUGUGAAAUCCGGGGGCUCAACCCCCGAACUGCAUUUGAAACUGUUGGUCUUGAGUAUCGGAGAGGCAGGCGGAAUUCCUAGUGUAGCGGUGAAAUGCGUAGAUAUUAGGAGGAACACCAGUGGCGAAGGCGGCUUACUGGACUGUAACUGACACUGAGGCACGAAAGCGUGGGGAGCAAACAGGAUUAGAUACCCUUGUAG
rnacentral:rRNA from 1 species